CACGUAGGGGGCGAGCGUUGUCCGGAAUUACUGGGCGUAAAGGGCGCGCAGGCUGUUAUGCGAGUCUGCUGUGAAAUGUACCGGCUCAACCGGUGCCUUGCGGCGGAUACUGCAUAGCUGGAGUACUGGAGAGGGAAGUGGAAUUCCCGGUGUAGCGGUGAAAUGCGUAGAUAUUGGGAAGAACACCGGUGGCGAAGGCGGCUUUCUGGACUGUAACUGACACUGAGGCACGAAAGCGUGGGGAGCAAACAGGAUUAGAUACCCGGGUAGU
rnacentral:rRNA from 1 species